UACAGAGGGUGCGAGCGUUGUUCGGAAUUAUUGGGCGUAAAGCGCACGUAGGCGGUUUGUUAUGUCGGAUGUGAAAGCCCUUGGCUCAACUGAGGAAGUGCAUCCGAAACUGGCAAGCUAGAGUAUGUAAGAGGGUCGCGGAAUUCCCGGUGUAGAGGUGAAAUUCGUAGAUAUCGGGAGGAACACCGGUGGCGAAGGCGGCGACCUGGGACAAUACUGACGCUGAGGUGCGAAAGCGUGGGGAGCAAACAGG
rnacentral:rRNA from 1 species